rnacentral:piRNA from 1 species
UGGGCUUAUUCGGGCACACCUUUGACACCUG